rnacentral:rRNA from 1 species
CCUACGGGUGGCAGCAGUGGGGAAUAUUGGACAAUGGGCGAAAGCCUGAUCCAGCCAUGCCGCGUGUGUGAAGAAGGCCUUCGGGUUGUAAAGCACUUUCAGUGGGGAAGAAAGCCUUGGGGCUAAUACCCUCGAGGAAGGACAUCACCCACAGAAGAAGCACCGGCUAACUCCGUGCCAGCAGCCGCGGUAAUACGGAGGGUGCGAGCGUUAAUCGGAAUUACUGGGCGUAAAGCGCGCGUAGGCGGUCUGAUAAGCCGGUUGUGAAAGCCCCGGGCUCAACCUGGGAACGGCAUCCGGAACUGUCAGGCUAGAGUGCAGGAGAGGAAGGUAGAAUUCCCGGUGUAGCGGUGAAAUGCGUAGAGAUCGGGAGGAAUACCAGUGGCGAAAGCGGCCUUCUGGACUGACACUGACGCUGAGGUGCGAAAGCGUGGGUAGCAAACAGGAUUAGAUACCCGUGUAGUC